CAGGGUUGAUGUGUUAUUCUAGCCUGUCUGUCUAUAGGUAACAGGGUUGAUGUGUUAUUCUAGCCUGUCUGUCUAUAGGUAACAGGGUUGAUGUGUUAUUC